rnacentral:misc_RNA from 1 species
AUUCAAUAGAUCUCAAGGAGAAUUCAUUAGAACGGUAGCGCUCGUUUUCUCUGCCUUGUCGGUCCGAUCGAUUAGGAGAGGCCACUAUCCGGAUCAUGAGAACGAGCUCUGCAGUUUCAUUGCCGCUGCAGCCUCAGAGAAAAAGAGGGUGACAACAAGGAAUACGCUGAUGCUCCUCCCCUUCCUCGCUGAUCUACUGUCGUUAGCCCCAUCCGUCCUCUUGCGCUGCUGUCGAAAUCCAAAGAAGAGAGCAUUUCUUGAUUGAUUCAAGUUAGCUGUCCAAUUUCAGAGAACUCGUUCAUCCUGAGGAUCUUGUUAUGGGCAUCAGUAAAACAGAAGUAAACUUAAGGAGGUUGCUUGCAGCUGCACCUCAGCAACAAAAUAAAGCAAAACUUAUACAUUAUGUCGCUACUUUACGGGAACAAUUGGAACAAUUGGCUGAAGAAAGAAAUCCAGAUGGCUUACCUAGAGUUUCAAAGGCUAAGGUGAAUGAUUAUUCUGAGAAGAUUGAAGCCAUUGCUACCAGAAUAGCUGCACCAUUGCCUCAUGUUUUGGUAUCUGAAAAGUCUGAUGCUGGGAGUUCUGCAAAAGAAAGUCCUAAAGCAGAUGGAGAAACUCACUUCCCUUCUUCUCCAGGCUUGAGAAGAAGAUUUGUGUCAUCGUCAAAUAUUGAUGACAGAACUCAUGACCUAAAUCAGGUUCAUACAUCAGCGCCUGUCAAACUGGAUACUGCAGCAAAAGCACACAUUGAGAAGCACAGAAAGCUUCAGGAGGAUUUGACUGAUGAAAUGGUCGGGUUGGCACAGCAACUCAAAGAAAGUAGUCUCAUGAUGAGUCAGUCCCUGCAAAAUACUGAAAAGAUACUUGAUUCAACAGAGAAGGCUGUUGAGCAGAGCUUGGCUAGCACUGGUCGUGCCAAUGUACGAGCCUUGGAGUUAUACUCAAAAACUUCCAAGACCACAUGCUUCACAUGGCUUGUGAUUUUUCUAAUGACAUGUAUUUUCAUCAUGGUUGUACUUCUAAUUCGUGUCACUUGAGCUGAUCUUCAGUUCUUGGGAUAAGCAAUCUAUUCCCAAGUAGUAGACAUGGUAAUGCUACUAUCUUUCAAUAUGAUUGUUGCAUUUAACCAUGUCAUAAUGCCUUAUAAAUUUCUGGAGCUCAAGUAGCGAACCAACAAUUUUGCUAACAUGCACCCGAAAAAUAGUAAUGACAAGUAUAUUUGUUGGAUACUGUUUUCUUAAAUCGUGCAACUGUUGAAAUUGG